AUAAUGGGUCAGCGACUUAUAUUCUGUAGCAAGGUUAACCGAAUAGGGGAGCCGAAGGGAAACCGAGUCUUAACUGGGCGUUAAGUUGCAGGGUAUAGACCCGAAACCCGGUGAUCUAGCCAUGGGCAGGUUGAAGGUUGGGUAACACUAACUGGAGGACCGAACCGACUAAUGUUGAAAAAUUAGCGGAUGACUUGUGGCUGGGGGUGAAAGGCCAAUCAAACCGGGAGAUAGCUGGUUCUCCCCGAAAGCUAUUUAGGUAGCGCCUCGUGAAUUCAUCUCCGGGGGUAGAGCACUGUUUCGGCAAGGGGGUCAUCCCGACUUACCAACCCGAUGCAAACUGCGAAUACCGGAGAAUGUUAUCACGGGAGACACACGGCGGGUGCUAACGUCCGUCGUGAAGAGGGAAACAACCCAGACCGCCAGCUAAGGUCCCAAAGUCAUGGUUAAGUGGGAAACGAUGUGGGAAGGCCCAGACAGCCAGGAUGUUGGCUUAGAAGCAGCCAUCAUUUAAAGAAAGCGUAAUAGCUCACUGGUCGAGUCGGCCUGCGCGGAAGAUGUAACGGGGCUAAACCAUGCACCGAAGCUGCGGCAGCGACGCUGAUGCGUUGUUGGGUAGGGGAGCGUUCUGUAAGCCUGUGAAGGUGUGCUGUGAGGCAUGCUGGAGGUAUCAGAAGUGCGAAUGCUGACAUAAGUAACGAUAAAGCGGGUGAAAAGCCCGCUCGCCGGAAGACCAAGGGUUCCUGUCCAACGUUAAUCGGGGCAGGGUGAGUCGACCCCUAAGGCGAGGCCGAAAGGCGUAGUCGAUGGGAAACAGGUUAAUAUUCCUGUACUUGGUGUUACUGCGAAGGGGGGACGGAGAAGGCUAUGUUGGCCGGGCGACGGUUGUCCCGGUUUAAGCGUGUAGGCUGGUUUUCCAGGCAAAUCCGGAAAACUAAGGCUGAGGCGUGAUGACGAGGCACUACGGUGCUGAAGCAACAAAUGCCCUGCUUCCAGGAAAAGCCUCUAAGCAUCAGGUAACAUCAAAUCGUACCCCAAACCGACACAGGUGGUCAGGUAGAGAAUACCAAGGCGCUUGAGAGAACUCGGGUGAAGGAACUAGGCAAAAUGGUGCCGUAACUUCGGGAGAAGGCACGCUGAUAUGUAGGUGAAGUCCCUCGCGGAUGGAGCUGAAAUCAGUCGAAGAUACCAGCUGGCUGCAACUGUUUAUUAAAAACACAGCACUGUGCAAACACGAAAGUGGACGUAUACGGUGUGACGCCUGCCCGGUGCCGGAAGGUUAAUUGAUGGGGUCAGCGCAAGCGAAGCUCUUGAUCGAAGCCCCGGUAAACGGCGGCCGUAACUAUAACGGUCCUAAGGUAGCGAAAUUCCUUGUCGGGUAAGUUCCGACCUGCACGAAUGGCGUAAUGAUGGCCAGGCUGUCUCCACCCGAGACUCAGUGAAAUUGAACUCGCUGUGAAGAUGCAGUGUACCCGCGGCAAGACGGAAAGACCCCGUGAACCUUUACUAUAGCUUGACACUGAACAUUGAGCCUUGAUGUGUAGGAUAGGUGGGAGGCUUUGAAGUGUGGACGCCAGUCUGCAUGGAGCCGACCUUGAAAUACCACCCUUUAAUGUUUGAUGUUCUAACGUUGACCCGUAAUCCGGGUUGCGGACAGUGUCUGGUGGGUAGUUUGACUGGGGCGGUCUCCUCCUAAAGAGUAACGGAGGAGCACGAAGGUUGGCUAAUCCUGGUCGGACAUCAGGAGGUUAGUGCAAUGGCAUAAGCCAGCUUGACUGCGAGCGUGACGGCGCGAGCAGGUGCGAAAGCAGGUCAUAGUGAUCCGGUGGUUCUGAAUGGAAGGGCCAUCGCUCAACGGAUAAAAGGUACUCCGGGGAUAACAGGCUGAUACCGCCCAAGAGUUCAUAUCGACGGCGGUGUUUGGCACCUCGAUGUCGGCUCAUCACAUCCUGGGGCUGAAGUAGGUCCCAAGGGUAUGGCUGUUCGCCAUUUAAAGUGGUACGCGAGCUGGGUUUAGAACGUCGUGAGACAGUUCGGUCCCUAUCUGCCGUGGGCGCUGGAGAACUGAGGGGGGCUGCUCCUAGUACGAGAGGACCGGAGUGGACGCAUCACUGGUGUUCGGGUUGUCAUGCCAAUGGCACUGCCCGGUAGCUAAAUGCGGAAGAGAUAAGUGCUGAAAGCAUCUAAGCACGAAACUUGCCCCGAGAUGAGUUCUCCCUGACUCCUUGAGAGUCCUGAAGGAACGUUGAAG
rnacentral:rRNA from 1 species